rnacentral:rRNA from 1 species
GACGAACGCUGGCGGCGUGCUUAACACAUGCAAGUCGAACGGAAAGGCCCUGCUUUUGUGGGGUGCUCGAGUGGCGAACGGGUGAGUAACACGUGAGUAACCUGCCCUUGACCUUGGGAUAACUUCAGGAAACUGGGGCUAAUACCGGAUAGGAGCUCCUGCUGCAUGGUGGGGGUUGGAAAGUUUCGGCGGUUGGGGAUGGACUCGCGGCUUAUCAGCUUGUUGGUGGGGUAGUGGCUUACCAAGGCUUUGACGGGUAGCCGGCCUGAGAGGGUGACCGGCCAAAUUGGGACUGAGAUACGGCCCAGACUCCUACGGGAGGCAGCAGUGGGGAAUAUUGCACAAUGGGCGGAAGCCUGAUGCAGCAACGCCGCGUGCGGGAUGACUGCCUUCGGGUUGUAAACCGCUUUCGCCUGUGACGAAGCGUGAGUGACGGUAAUGGGUAAAGAAGCACCGGCUAACUACGUG